rnacentral:rRNA from 1 species
GCAAGUCGAGCGGUAGAGAGGUGCUUGCACCUCUUGAGAGCGGCGGACGGGUGAGUAAAGCCUAGGAAUCUGCCUGGUAGUGGGGGAUAACGCUCGGAAACGGACGCUAAUACCGCAUACGUCCUACGGGAGAAAGCAGGGGACCUUCGGGCCUUGCGCUAUCAGAUGAGCCUAGGUCGGAUUAGCUAGUUGGUGAGGUAAUGGCUCACCAAGGCGACGAUCCGUAACUGGUCUGAGAGGAUGAUCAGUCACACUGGAACUGAGACACGGUCCAGACUCCUACGGGAGGCAGCAGUGGGGAAUAUUGGACAAUGGGCGAAAGCCUGAUCCAGCCAUGCCGCGUGUGUGAAGAAGGUCUUCGGAUUGUAAAGCACUUUAAGUUGGGAGGAAGGGCAUUAACCUAAUACGUUAGUGUUUUGACGUUACCGACGGAAUAAGCACCGGCUAACUCUGUGCCAGCAGCCGCGGUAAUACAGAGGGUGCAAGCGUUAAUCGGAAUUACUGGGCGUAAAGCGCGCGUAGGUGGUUCGUUAAGUUGGAUGUGAAAUCCCCGGGCUCAACCUGGGAACUGCAUUCAAAACUGUCGAGCUAGAGUAUG